rnacentral:rRNA from 1 species
GAAGGUCCUGCCUGCCCAGUGACUAUUAGUUAAACGGCCGCGGUAUUUUGACCGUGCUAAGGUAGCGCAAUCACUUGUCUUUUAAAUGAAGACCUGUAUGAAUGGUGGAACGAGGGCUUAACUGUCUCCCCUUUUCAGUCAAUGAAAUUGAUCUGUCCGUGCAGAAGCGGACAUAACAAUACAAGACGAGAAGACCCUUUGGAGCUUUAGACACAAGGCCAAUUGCGUUAAUUUAACCCUAACUAAACAGGAAAAACAAAGCAACUACUGACCCACGUCUUCGGUUGGGGCGACCGCGGGGAAAACAAAGCCCCCAUGUGGAAUAGGAGCCAUCCUAAGCUAAGAAAGACACUUCCAAGCCACAGAACAUCUGACCAAAAGAUCCGGCAACCGCCGAUCAACGAACCAAGUUACCCUAGGGAUAACAGCGCAAUCCCCUCCAAGAGUUCAUAUCGACAAGGGGGUUUACGACCUCGAUGUUGGAUCAGGACAUCCUAAUGGUGCAGCCGCUAUUAAGGG